rnacentral:rRNA from 1 species
UACGUAGGGGGCAAGCGUUGUCCGGAAUUAUUGGGCGUAAAGAGCUCGUAGGCGGUCUGUUGCGUCGGCUGUGAAAACCCGGGGCUCAACCCCGGGCCUGCAGCCGAUACGGGCAGACUAGAGUUCGGCAGGGGAGACUGGAAUUCCUGGUGUAGCGGUGAAAUGCGCAGAUAUCAGGAGGAACACCGGUGGCGAAAGCGGCUCACUGGAUCUCUUCUGACGCUGAGGCACGAAAGCUAGGGUAGCGAACGGG